GAUGAACGCUGGCGGCGUGCCUAAUACAUGCAAGUCGAGCGAACAGACGAGGAGCUUGCUCCUCUGACGUUAGCGGCGGACGGGUGAGUAACACGUGGAUAACCUACCUAUAAGACUGGGAUAACUUCGGGAAACCGGAGCUAAUACCGGAUAAUAUAUUGAACCGCAUGGUUCAAUAGUGAAAGACGGUUUUGCUGUCACUUAUAGAUGGAUCCGCGCCGCAUUAGCUAGUUGGUAAGGUAACGGCUUACCAAGGCGACGAUGCGUAGCCGACCUGAGAGGGUGAUCGGCCACACUGGAACUGAGACACGGUCCAGACUCCUACGGGAGGCAGCAGUAGGGAAUCUUCCGCAAUGGGCGAAAGCCUGACGGAGCAACGCCGCGUGAGUGAUGAAGGUCUUCUGAUCGUAAAACUCUGUUAUUAGGGAAGAACAAAUGUGUAAGUAACUAUGCACGUCUUGACGGUACCUAAUCAGAACGCCACGGCUAACUACGUG
rnacentral:rRNA from 1 species